UAGUAAGUAGUAUAGUGGUAGUACGCGGGGUUUUGGACCCUGAGGGACGGGUUCGAUGCCCGUUUUUCUAU
rnacentral:tRNA from 1 species